rnacentral:rRNA from 1 species
AUCGAACGCUGGCGGCAGGCCUAACACAUGCAAGUCGAACGAGUGGCGGACGGGUGAGUAAUGUCUGGGAAACUGCCCGAUGGAGGGGGAUAACUACUGGAAACGGUAGCUAAUACCGCAUACCAUCGGAUGUGCCCAGAUGGGAUUAGCGAGUAGGGGGGGUAACGGCGCACCUAGGCGACGAUCCCUAGCUGGUCUGGGAGGAUGACCAGCCAACCUGGAACUGAGACACGGUCCAGACUCCUACGCGAGGACGCAGUGGGGAAUAUUGCACAAUGGGAGCAAGCCUUAUGCAGCCAUGCCGCGUGUAUGAAGAAGGCCUUCGAGUUGUAAAGUACUUUCAGCGAGGAGGCGUUACUCGCAGAAGAAGCACCGGCUAACUCCGUGCCAGCCGCCGCGGUAAUUC